rnacentral:rRNA from 1 species
CAGUAGCCGCGGUAAUACGAAGGGUGCAAGCGUUACUCGGAAUUACUGGGCGUAAAGCGUGCGUAGGUGGUGGUUUAAGUCCGUUGUGAAAGCCCUGGGCUCAACCCGGGAAUUGCAGUGGAUACUGGGUCACUAGAGUGUGGUAGAGGAUAGUGGAAUUUCCGGUGUAGCAGUGAAAUGCGUAGAGAUCGGAAGGAACAUCUGUGGCGAAGGCGACUAUCUGGGCCAACACUGACACUGAGGCACGAAAGCGUGGGGAGCAAACAGGAUUAGAUACCCCAGUAGUCCCUGUCUCUUAUAC